rnacentral:rRNA from 1 species
AUUGAACGCUGGCGGCAGGCCUAACACAUGCAAGUCGAACGAGUGGCGGACGGGUGAGUAAUGUCUGGGAAACUGCCCGAUGGAGGGGGAUAACUACUGGAAACGGUAGCUAAUACCGCAUACCAUCAGAUGUGCCCAGAUUGGAUUAGCUAGGUGGUGGGGUAAUGGCUCACCAAGGCGACGAUCCCUAGCUGGUCUGAGAGGAUGACAAGCAACAAUGGAACUGAGACACGGGCCAGACUCCUACGGGAGGGAGCAGUGGGGAAUAUUGCACAAUGGGCGCAAGCCUGAUGCAGCCAUGCCGCGGAUAUGAAGAAGGCCGUCGGGUUGUAAAGUACUUUCAGCGUGGAGGCGUUACCCGCAGAAGAAGCACCGGCUAACUCCGUGCCAGCAGCCGCGGUAAUAC